rnacentral:rRNA from 1 species
GACGUAGGGCGCGAGCGUUGUCCGGAUUUAUUGGGCGUAAAGAGCUCGUAGGCGGCUCGUUGCGUCGGCUGUGAAAACCCGCAGCUCAACUGUGGGCUUGCAGCCGAUACGGGCGGGCUGGAGUUCGGUAGGGGAGACUGGAAUUCCUGGGUGUAGCGGUGAAAUGCGCAGAUAUCAGGAGGAACACCGGUGGCGAAGGCGGGUCUCUGGGCAUUGAACUGACGCUGGAGGAGCGAAAGCAUGGGGAGCGAACAGGA